rnacentral:rRNA from 1 species
ACGUUGGAACCUGCCCCAAAGUGAGGAAUAAGCCACCGAAAGGUGGUCUAAUACUUCAUAAUAUCCAUCUCGUAUGGAUUAAAGCUUUAUGCGCUUUGGGAGGGGCCUGCGUAACAUUAGCUUGUUGGUGAGGUAAAAGCUCACCAAGGCUUCGAUGUUUAACUGGUUUGAGAGGAUGACCAGUCACACUGGGACUGAGAUACGGCCCAGACUCCUACGGGAGGCAGCAGUAAGGAAUCUUCCACAAUGGGGCAACCCUGAUGGAGCAAUACCGCGUGCAGGAUGAAGCGUUUCGGCGUGUAAACUGCUUUUAUCACCGAAGAUUAUGACUGUAGGUGAAGAAUAAGGACCGGCUAACUACGUG